rnacentral:rRNA from 1 species
CAGUCGCCGCGGGAAUACGAAGGGUGCAAACGUUGCUCGGAAUUAUUGGGCGUAAAGCGCACGUAGGCGGCUCCGCAAGUCGGAUGUGAAAUCCCUCGGCUUAACCAAGGAAGUGCAUCCGAAACUGCAGAGCUCGAGUACUUAAGAGGAUCGCGGAAUUCCCGGUGUAGAGGUGAAAUUCGUAGAUAUCGGGAGGAACACCAGUGGCGAAAGCACUCUGCUGGGCCGACACUGACACUGAGAGACGAAAGCUAGGGGAGCAAAUGGGAUUAGAUACCCGCGUAGUCCCUGUCUCUUAUAC